UACGUAGGGAGCGAGCGUUGUCCGGAUUCAUUGGGCGUAAAGAGCUCGUAGGCGGCUUGGUAAGUCGGAUGUGAAACCUCCAGGCUCAACCUGGAGUCGCCAUCCGAUACUGCCAUGGCUAGAGUCCGGUAGGGGCCCACGGAAUUCCUGGUGUAGCGGUGAAAUGCGCAGAUAUCAGGAGGAGCACCGAUGGCGAAGGCAGUGGGCUGGGCCGGCACUGACGCUGAGGAGCGAAAGCGUGGGGAGCGAACAGG
rnacentral:rRNA from 1 species